GUCGCACCUACCGAUUGAAUGGUCCGGUGAAGCCUCGGGAUUGUGGUCAGUUUGCUUAAUUGCGAGUUGAUAAUGAGAACCUGCCUACCUUAUCAUUUAGAGGAAGGUG
rnacentral:rRNA from 1 species